rnacentral:rRNA from 1 species
GCGAGUGGCGAACGGGUGAGUAAUAUAUCGGAACGUGCCCAGGAGUGGGGGAUAACGCAGCGAAAGUUGCGCUAAUACCGCAUACGAUCUAAGGAUGAAAGCGGGGGACUCGCAAGAACCUCGCGCUCCUGGAGCGGCCGAUAUCUGAUUAGCUAGUAGGUGUGGUAAUGGCGCACCUAGGCGACGAUCAGUAACUGGUCUGAGAGGAUGACCAGUCACACUGGGACUGAGACACGGCCCAGACUCCUACGGGAGGCAGCAGUGGGGAAUAUUGGACAAUGGGCGAAAGCCUGAUCCAGCAAUGCCGCGUGAGUGAAGAAGGCCUUCGGGUUGUAAAGCUCUUUUACCCGGGAAGAUAAUGACUGUACCGGGAGAAUAAGCCCCGGCUAACUCCGUGCCAGCAGCCGCGGUAAUACGGAGGGGGCUAGCGUUGUUCGGAAUUACUGGGCGUAAAGCGUACGUAGGCGG